UGCAGGAUGUAGAGGGAAGCAGCAGUGCAGUUACAACUCCUGGGGAUGUCAUCACCACCACCUCUAUACAGUUAGAUACUCCAACCACUCCCCUACCACCACCCUCACCACGAACGAUAACAACCACAGAUAGCAUCCCACCUCUAGACGAGCCUCUGGGGCCUCCGCCGGCCUACACAUAUAAUCCCCCACGAAUAAGUCCUUUUGAGCCCAUCCCUGGUCCACCUCCCUCUUAUGAUGAAUGCCACAAUCUCAAUGUUCCUCCUCCUACGUAUGAUUCCUUGUUUGGACGAGUACGGGAAGUUCAAAAGACUUCUAAUGGGGUUGUUGAUUUCAUCAAAAAUAUUAUAGUUCUCUUUGUUGGAACAAGUGAGUAUGUGUUUAGCUCCUGUUGUUUUUCAGAGUCAAAACUUAAACACUCUGUACUCAUUCUCUCACUACAAAUUUAUAAAUUAAAACCCUUCAAAUUCUUUGAGGAUGUUUUCUUUUUUUUAUUUUGCACUGUUAAUUCAAAGUAAAAGGACACAUGUGCAACUAAUGUGACAUUUUUUGUGGCAACGUUUCACUCUCCAGGAGCUUUGUCAAGCCGAUACAAACAAUACAUGGACACAGAGGGUAUAUAUAGGCUUAGAGCGAGGUGUAAUGCUAGUGAUAGUGUAGUAGUAGUAGUGAUAUCAGUUGUAGUAGUAGUAGUGAUAUCAGUUGUAGUAGUAGUAGUGAUAUCAGUUGUAGUAGUAGUAAUACAAUACUCAUGCUUGUGCAUGAGUAAAAGGAUAUAAAAGCUGUUACUUGGGUAGUAUAAAAAUAGGUUAGACAAAUAUUUCUAUUGGAGGUUGGAUUAGAGAAGGCCUGUUUCAGUGUUCAUCCUCUGUAAUUUGCUUGUGUAGUAUUAGCAGGAGAGACUAUAUGAUGGCAGGGUUUACUGUUUUCAGGAGGAUUCUCGCUAAGACUUCAGAGAUGGUAAAGCUGCCUUUGUUUUGUUUAAUUGUAUUAGAAACAGCGAUUAGUGCUGAUUCAAGGCACUUGCAUCUGCGGAAAUUAAUUUCUUUGAUCACUGAUCAGGCGUCCCUGAAUUUCAUGAGAUGAUAAGUGGAAUUUCGGUGUUGUACACAGGCUUUGUUCAAGUUAUUGUUCCUACAUGCAUAAAUGCAUUCAUUGAGGCAGGUUUCAAGAUUUCUUGCUGUUUCACCUACACAAAUCCUGUCAUAGCCUCCACAGGUUAUAGUGUAAACCCUUGCAUUGACUGGUUCAUGGUGCUUGGAUUUUCUCCUGGUUAGAUCUUUUAUUGAAGUGCUGGAAGUGAUGGCAACUCUAGUAUUAGCUUGUGCAAGUACUUUAGAAAUGUUUAGUGCAACCUGGCUGUUGGGAAGAAUUAUAACUUUGUUAGGAGUGGUGUUGGUGUGUGAAGAUUUAAUGAUCUGAUGAGCUCUCUUCAUGCAAUUUUUCAUGUAAAAGGAAGGAAAAUGUAAAUCAGUGAAGGUUUGGUGAAUGUAUGUACAUUUCUCGUCAAGAAACUCAGGACUACAGAUUCAGUAUGCUCUUAGGAAAAAUCCGAUGAUGAUGCCUCUUUUGGCCUUAGUAUCUUGACUGGAAUAGAAGUGUGUAACAUCAUUUUUAUUUGUAGGUUUCUGGUAAACUUUAAAUCUUAGGUUGUUGUCUACUUUGUGAAUGAGGAUGUCUAGAAAAGGUAGCAUGUGAAUGGUGACGUCUAGGAAAGGUAUUUUGACAGAGCUCCUGGAGAGUAAAACAUUGCCACAAUAAAAUGUCACAUUAGCUGCACUUGUACUUUACAUAUUGUCAGUAAUUCUACCAACAUAUAUACUCUGUUAAUUCAGGCUUCUUACAUUAAUUAAUUUAUAAUUGCUUAUUAAGCUUUCCACUGUUCUUCUCAAAUGGUAGAGAAUCCUUUUCUGAAGGUAAUGACAUAAAAAAAUAUAUUAAAUUUUAUGAAAACUUACAGGGUUAUGCAAGUGCAAAGUUGGCAGUCUGGGCACAGUUUAUGCAUCAGCGAUUACCCCUACUUUGACUUUUAUUUUUAAACGAAUUCCAUUGCUCAUUAUAACCAAUUUCAUAGCUACUUGGCUAGUACAGUGGGCUGCCGCGUUUCGACAGCCACGACUUUCGUGAAAUCCGACUUUCGGCACCUUUUUCGUCAAAAUAUAGCUUUGCAGUUCGUGAUUGGCCUCAUGAAUCGUCCAUUGUAUGGGACAUGUCCGUGAAGCCGGGAGUGGCUGGGUGUACACAAAGGCUCCCACACAACAUUGAGAGAGUCAGUGUGGCAUGAUUUGUGGGUGAGCUACCAUCACCCCACAGGUUCAUAUGAUACAUUUCUUAAUAAUCCAUUGUUUUUUGUGCUUGCAACUGUUAAAUAAGCCACCAUGGGCCCAAAGAAAGCUCAUAGUGCCAGCCCUUUGAUAAAGAAGGAAAGAAGCAUGAUAGAAUUCAAGUGGAGGAGGAAGAGAGAGGGGAGAAUGUGCCUUCUUCAGUGCUUCAGUGAUUUUACGAUAUGUAUGAUACUAAAGCAGUAGGUAUCGAUAAGCACCAGCCAGUGAUAAAGUGUAGCAUUAACAGUGUAGCAAGUAAGUUAAGCGAUUAAGCGAUAGAAAAACGACACGAAAGUAACUCUCCAAUGUUGUUGGAGGUGUAUAAGGCCACUGAACAUACGCCGCCCUGCUAUCUUCCACCACCCUAAAUGUCUGCCAGUAUCUCCUCCAUCAAACUAACUAAUUAAACUAACAUCUCCUCCAAGGUAAGUGUAAAUAUUUCUUAUUUAUAAAUUAAACUGUAAAUAUCUCUUAUUUAUAAAUUACAUACAUUAUACAUUGUUUGUGUGAAUAGUGGUGGUAGCUUCUGCUGCACCCUCCACCACCACUAAUAUGUACAACUUCUCUCAGUGGCCCUUAUAAACCCAACAACAACACCAUCACCACUUGUGACAUACAGAAUGACAUUUUAUUAAUUCUAGAGUAUAUAUCAUGUUUCUAUGUUAUUAAUAUUGUUUAUUAUGUCAUAUUAGAUGAAUAGUGAUGGAUAAAUAAGCCAUAGAGAUGAUAUUAGCAUCAUAUUGAAGCAUAAUAAACUCUCCCCCCCCCCUCUUGCCUCCUACCUGUCUGCCAUACACCAACAAGAGUCUUCAAUAAAGGUAAGUGUGAUGUUAAAUUUUCAUUUAUCCAUUUUAUUAAUGCUUUAUAUUUAUUUGUCAUUGUUUUCUGUAUGUAAAUCUAUAUUAAUCUUUAAAAAAAGGUAUUUUUUGUUAAUACUUUUGGGUGUCUGAAACGGAUUAAUUGGAUUUCCAUUAUUUCUUAUGGGGAAAAUGGUUUCGCCAUUCAUGAAUUUCGCUAUUCAGCAGACUCUCUGGAAAGGAUUAAUCAUGAAACUCGAGGGUCCACUGUAUGUCUUUCAUUCUGUCAAUUGAGCACACGGAACUGCUUAUUCAGUUAUCAGAACUACCCUGUAAAGAACAUAGAUGUCAGUAGUUUUAUAUAAAAUUCAACGAAUUCCAAUUUAACCGCUUGACUGUUUUGGUUGUAUAUAUAUGUCUUACAAGCCACCGUGUUUGACGUAUCUAUACGCAUAAAUUCUAGCAGCUUCAAAUCAAACAGGAGAAGGCUGGUAGGCCUACAUGAGAGAGAAUGGGUCUGAGUGGUGGGUGUGCACCUUGUGAAAAAAUCUGGGACUCAGUAGUGCAUUGUGGGAACGCCAUCUUGGUAGUCCAUUUUCACCAUGCCUCACGGUAAGAAGUACCUCACUCCUUGGCGGAUUGGAGGUCUUUUGUUCCCAAGUGAUAGCUCUAACAGCGAUGGAAGUGUCAGUGAAAGUGAAUUACAUGGUUUUCAAGUGGGUGUGACCGAAAACAGUGCCCAGGAUAACGUAAUUAGUGAUGAAAACCCAGAUGACCCACGACCUUCCACCUCUGGUGCUGGGCCAGCUCAAUCACGUUCACCUCUACCAGGACGAAAGAGGAAACUAUUUGCUCGUGUACAAGACUUAGAUGUGAGCAGUGAAAGUGAUAGUGAUUUCAAAGCUUUUAAAAGCAGUUCUAGUUGCGACAGUGAGGGUGAAGAUUCCCCAGUGAAGCUGCAGUAUAUAUGAUGUAGCAUGUGGUCUGGUAGUGUGUCAUAUGCUGUUCCAAGGGAAGGAGUAAAUCUCGGAGCACAUCCCGUGGCCCUACACCAUGAACUGAUAGUGAAGAUGAUGAUAUUGUUACGAUGGGUAUGAAUGAUGUGAGUGAGGCAGCAGGUGGUGGUGGUAAUAGUGAUGGUGGCAUGAGUCAUGUUGCACCAGCAGCGGGCCACGCUACUACCGACGCUGCUGACUCUGCACAACCACAACCAGCCUCACCCAAUCCCACACUCCCACAACACCCACAGCCACAACCUGCACAACCACAACCACGUUUCAGUAUCCAGAACCCACCAGCUGACUGCAUCUGGGAUUGGCAGCAAGGUGACGAGUUUGUUCCCAGUCCCCCAUGACUGAUGAAACACAAAGUGGAAUACGGCCAUCAUGUACACUUGGGAACAAUGCCACUGAACUGGAAUGCUUUCAAUUAUUCUUCGAUGAACCCCUGAUGGACAUUAUUGUCAGGGAAAGCAAUACAUACUUUGAGUACACCAUGGCAAACACAAUUCUUUCACCAAGAUCACGGCUACACAAGUGGAAGGACAGAACUGUGGCAGAGAUGUAUCUGUUCCUUGCCACAAUAAUGCUUAUGCCACAUGUAUGUAAGCACAGUGUUAACACAUAGUGGUCGACAGACCUCCUGAUUUCAACCCCAGCUUUCAGUGACAUUAUACCAUUGAAUAGAUUUGUGCUACUGUUGCGUAUGCUACACUUUUCCGACAAAACAAGGCCUGACGAAGCGACAGGUUAUAUUAGAUCAGAAAUGUGUUUAUGUACCUGAAACAUAAGCGUUGUAUGUAUUUAUCCCUUCAGGAAGCUUGUUAUUGAUGAAUCUUUGAUUUUGUUCAAAGGAAGACUCUCGUUCAAGCAUUACAUGCCAAGCAAGACGAAAUGCUUUGGUGUAAAGUUAUUUGUACUGUGUGAUUGCAAAAGUGGUCUGGUUUUGGAUAUACAUACUUGUGUACACUGGCAGUAAAACAUUGCAAGAUACCAGGAAGUUACUGGGUAUCUCUGGUGAUGUGGUUAGAACAAUGAUAGAACCAUAUCUUGGUAAGGGGCAUAUUUUAUAUACUGACAACUGGUACACAAGCCCUUUACUCAGUGAUUUCUUGCGAGUGAACAUGACAGAUGUGUGUGGCACAAUACAUGGAAAUUGUAAGCAUAUGCCUAGGUUCGACGCUGGCACUCGUAGAGGUGAUGUUCAGGUGUUUGCUGUCAAUGACAUCAUGGCAUUUUGGUGGCAUGACAAACGUGAUGUCACACUGUUGACAUCAGUUCACCGAUACGAAAUGGUAGACAGUGGCAAGCAGAAUAGAGAGACCAAUGAACCCAUUAUAAAACCUGCAGCUGUGAUGGAUUACAACCUCAAUAUGCAGUUAGUGGACAAAUGUGACAUGCAGAUUGGGUUUGCUGAUUCUGUUUGCAAGAGUUAUAAGUGGUAAAUAAAACUCUUUUUUCCAUCUUCUUGACAUUUCCAUGCUGAAUGCUUAUAAUAUGUAUAAGUUGAAGACCAACAACAAACCCAAAUAUGGUGAAUUUUGUUUGUCAGUCAUCAGACAAAUAAUAUUCAAGUACCAAGGAAUAAAACCUGCAAUAGACCAGCGCCCAUGAAAUUAUCAACACAUGCCCUCUCAUCUGAGGACUGGUGAUCACUACCCCAUACCACUGCCUGCUACUGCUCUCAAGAAAAAUGCUCAGAAGAGGUGUUUUGUCUGUGGACAUACCACAAAACGCCCACAAAAAUGCAGAGACACUUAUUUUAUGUGUGUGAGUAGUGUAAAAUACCAUUGUGCUUUACACCCAGCUGCAGCAGUUCUAGAAAAGUGUCCAGUGAUUCUACAUAUGUAUAUAUAUUAUAGAACAAUCGUAAUAAACAAUUUUUUAUAUUGCUUGUGUAAACAAGUUUUGUAAACAUUAUGAUGAUUUUAGUGUUUUUGCUAUAAUUGUCUUACAUUCAACAAGUGCAUACAGUAGGGCCCCUCUUUAUGGCAUUUCGCUUUAUGGCAUUCCGCUAAUAUGGUCAUUUCAAAUUAUGACCAAAACUCGCUAUAUGGCUCCCCCCACCUGACUUUCUAAUACGGUCACCGCGCCCCACCCAGUUUGUUUACAUUCUCUGUGAGAUCCGUAAGCACUAAGUCUCUCCAUUUUGUCUGGAAACUCCAAAAUUUCAAGUGUUUUUAAAAGUUAUUUCAUAUUUUAUAUAUACUCUGAUAAUUAUACUUAUGUAUACCUGUACCUAAAUAAACUUACACACUGUGCUGGCAUGCAGGUACACAUGAAAAUCAGUAAGAGUGUCUUAUGUCUCCAGACGUCACAUUAGUAAUGAUAAUAAUAAUCACCGAGUCUCAUUUAAAUGUCGUAUAUUACAUUAAUAUACACAUUUUCAUUAAUCCAUCUAUGAUAUUUUUUCAAAAUUAUAUAGUAAACGCGAUGCAUAACAUAUAAAUAUGAUAAAUACACCCCACAGUAGAAUAAAUAAACAUAAAUAUGAGAUGUGGUAGCAGACGACUUGCACAAGUGACGCCAUAUUAGAAAUGAUAAUAAUUAUCACCGAGUCUCAUUAAAUGUCGUAUAUUACGUUAAUAUCCACAUUUUCAUUAACCCAUCCAUGAUAUUUUUUUCAAAAUUAUAUAAUAAACAUGAUACAUAACAUAUAAAGAUGAUAAAUACACCCCACAAUAGAAUAAAUAAACAUAAAUAUGAGAUGUGGUAGCUAGAUAACUUGUACAAGUGACGGCAAGAAUAACAUUUUCUCUAAUCCAACAUAAGAGAAAAUGUGUUCCUCGGGGUAACUGUAGAAAAUUAUUCCUUUCGUAUGUAUGCAAGUUUAUUCAGGUACACACAAAUACAGUUACAUAGAUUAUCAUACAUAACAGCAUAUGUGUAGAGAACCCAGGAUAACCCAAAAAAUAAGUGACUUAUUUCCAUUGCCUUCACUCAGAGCAUCAUUUCUUCUCAAAAUGAUGUUACAUGAGAAUGGGAGUGUUCUUCUUUAUUUAUUCUACCACAUCAAUGUAGAGACAACUUGUACACAAUGUAACUUGUACACAAACCAGACGUGUACACUUUGUUGUUUACAAAACUUACCUUCCCCUGGUUUGUUUAAAUAAC